rnacentral:ncRNA from 2 species
AUAUAUAUUUGCGCUUUGGGUGUCAGGGAAUCAGGUGAAAAUCCUGAGCAGUCACCGCUACUGUCAGGUGCAAAAACAGGUCAACUUCAGUACAGCCACCCUCCGGGGGAAGGCAGAAGUAUGAUGCACCAAGCCAGGAGACCUGCCCAAUAUAAUCUUGCUUC